CACAUUUUCACCUCGUCCAAUCCGCAGGCUGCUUCACAAUAAGAGUUGACUGCCCGCUGUACGGAUGUCAGUUUCACUUCAUCAGCCGCUACAGCUCUGCUUGUUAAAAUUCCUCCACACCCACUGCCGACCGGACUCAUCGGUGAUGUAAGAAGUGUGACCAAUUCCAUCUGCGUUCACAUUGAUGCAUUCCUAGCCAAAGGCAGUUAGAGAAGAUAAGACAGUCUGUGAGACUUUAUGGCCUUACAGGACCAUGUGACGGAUCUCAAGGCUUAGUUUAUUUUUAGAUGUUAAGAAGCAUUUGUUUCUCUGGCCUUUACAACAAGUCACAAAGUCAGUACAACUUGUACAUCAUGAUGCGGAUCUUUUAAAGGCCUACUGUGUGCACAGACCACGUGGCUGUGCGUAGAUGUUGACUACUUUGAUGGUUCUCUCCUUUUGACCAGCUGAGAGAACAUAACCACUUAUGGGCAAAGGAUUGAAUUCAGGUCAAGCUGGGUGAGCUUCGUUUUCCCUCCAGAAGAUGGCGACCUCGUCUCACACUAGAUGUCAAUUAUCUGUCUCAAUUUUAGUUGUGUCUCUCAUCAUCUGCUGUCAUGGGCAUCAUCUGCUGUCAUGCACCAACCGCCAAUUCCAAUUCCUUGUAUGUCU
ensembl:lncRNA